rnacentral:rRNA from 1 species
CCUACGGGAGGCAGCAGUGAGGAAUAUUGGUCAAUGGGCGAGAGCCUGAACCAGCCAAGUCGCGUGAAGGAUGAAGGCCCUACGGGGUGUAAACUUCUUUUGUCAGGGAGCAAUUGAGUCCACGUGUGGGCUUAGCGAGAGUACCUGAAGAAAAAGCAUCGGCUAACUCCGUGCCAGCAGCAGCGGUAAUACGGAUGAAGCGAGCGUUAUCCGGAGUUAUUGGGUUUAAAGGGUGCGUAGGCGGAAUAUCAAGUCAGCGGUAAAAAUUCGGGGCUCAAGCCCGGCGUGCCGUUGAAACUGAUGUUCUUGAGUGGGCGAGAAGUAUGCGGAAUGCGUGGUGUAGCGGUGAACUGCAUAGAUAUCACGCAGAACUCCGAUUGCGAAGGCAGCAUACCGGCGCCCAACUGACGCUGAAGCACGAAAGCGUGGGUAUCGAACAGGAUUAGAUACCCCUGUAGUC